UACAGAGGUCUCAAGCGUUGUUCGGAUUCAUUGGGCGUAAAGGGUGCGUAGGCGGCGCGGUAAGUCGGGUGUGAAAUCUCGGAGCUUAACUCCGAAACUGCAUUCGAUACUGCCGUGCUUGAGGACUGGAGAGGAGAUUGGAAUUCACGGUGUAGCAGUGAAAUGCGUAGAUAUCGUGAGGAAGACCAGUGCGAAGGCGGAUCUCUGGACAGUUCCUGACGCUGAGGCGCGAAGGCCAGGGGAGCAAACGGG
rnacentral:rRNA from 1 species